GGCCUCGUAGCUCAGUUGACUAGAGCGUUGGCUGUACUAAAGCCUUCUCCUUGCUGGCGUGGGUUCUAAUCCCAACAAGGUCA
rfam:Schistocephalus solidus strain NST_G2 genome assembly, scaffold: SSLN_scaffold0006122